GAUGAACGCUAGCUACAGGCUUAACACAUGCAAGUCGAGGGGAAACGGCAUUGAGUGCUUGCACUCUUUGGACGUCGACCGGCGCACGGGUGAGUAACGCGUAUCCACCUUCCCAUUACUGUGGGAUAACCUGCCGAAAGGCAGACUAAUACCGCAUAGUCUUCGUUGACGGCAUCAGAUAUGAAGUAAAGAUUUAUCGGUAAUGGAUGGGGAUGCGUCUGAUUAGCUUGUUGGUGGGGUAACGGCCCACCAAGGCGACGAUCAGUAGGGGUUCUGAGAGGAAGGUCCCCCACAUUGGAACUGAGACACGGUCCAAACUCCUACGGGAGGCAGCAGUGAGGAAUAUUGGUCAAUGGACGUAAGUCUGAACCAGCCAAGUAGCGUGCAGGAUGACGGCCCUAUGGGUUGUAAACUGCUUUUGUAUGGGGAUAAAGUCAAUCACGUGUGAUUGUUUGCAGGUACCAUACGAAUAAGGACCGGCUAAUUCCGUGCCAGCAGCCGCGGUAAUACGGAAGGUCCAGGCGUUAUCCGGAUUUAUUGGGUUUAAAGGGAGCGUAGGCCGGAGAUUAAGUGUGUUGUGAAAUGUAGACGCUCAACGUCUGACUUGCAGCGCAUACUGGUUUCCUUGAGUACGCACAACGUUGGGCGGAUUUCGUCGUGUAGCGGUGAAAUGCUUAGAUAUGACGAAGAACUCCGAUUGCGAAGGCAGCUGACGGGGAGCGCAACUGACGCUUAAGCUUCGAAGGUGCGGGUAUCAAACAGGG
rnacentral:rRNA from 1 species